rnacentral:rRNA from 1 species
GAUGAACGCUGGCGGCGUGCCUAAUACAUGCAAGUCGAGCGAACAGACGAGGAGCUUGCUCCUCUGACGUUAGCGGCGGACGGGUGAGUAACACGUGGAUAACCUACCUAUAAGACUGGGAUAACUUCGGGAAACCGGAGCUAAUACCGGAUAAUAUAUUGAACCGCAUGGUUCAAUAGUGAAAGACGGUUUUGCUGUCACUUAUAGAUGGAUCCGCGCCGCAUUAGCUAGUUGGUAAGGUAACGGCUUACCAAGGCAACGAUGCGUAGCCGACCCGAGAGGGUGAUCGGCCACACUGGAACUGAGACACGGUCCAGACUCCUACGGGAGGCAGCAGUAGGGAAUCUUCCGCAAUGGGCGAAAGCUUGACGGAGCAACGCCGCGUGAGUGAUGAAGGUCUUCGGAUCGUAAAACUCUGUUAUUAGGGAAGAACAAAUGUGUAAGUAACUAUGCACGUCUUGACGGUACCUAAGCAGAAAGCCACGGCUAACUACGU